AGCAGUAGCCGCGGGAAUACGUAGGGUGCAAGCGUUAAUCGGAAUUACUGGGCGUAAAGCGUGCGCAGGCGGUUUGUUAAGACAGAUGUGAAAUCCCCGGGCUUAACCUGGGAACUGCAUUUGUGACUGGCAAGCUAGAGUAUGGCAGAGGGGGGUGGAAUUCCGCGUGUAGCAGUGAAAUGCGUAGAUAUGCGGAGGAACACCGAUGGCGAAGGCAGCCCCCUGGGCCAAUACUGACGCUCAUGCACGAAAGCGUGGGGAGCAAACAGGAUUAGAUACCCCCGUAGUCCCUGUCUCUUAUAC
rnacentral:rRNA from 1 species